rnacentral:misc_RNA from 1 species
ACUUUCUUUUUCAAAAUCAAAUUCAUGAACCGACAAAUUCUGUCGAAUAUGGCUCUGUUUGUGCCAGGAAUUUCAACUUUUGUUGUCACAAUUCAUUCACUGGUACAUGCAUAAUUAGAGUUCGCAAACUCGAUGCUACUCCGUAUGCUCGACCAGAAAUCAACCUCCGACUAUUUAUAGUCAUGACAAAAUAAUUUCCAUUACCAAACCUGCGGGAUACAACGGAUUAUUGUCGUUGAAAUAUGUACAGAGAAAUACGCGUUACACGGGAUCCAAGGAUUCUCACGUUUGCGUUCUACUCCUCGAAUUUACGAAGGACGUUGAGCGUCGAUCGAUGUUCGGUUGGAAUUCGAUUGAUCUUGAGGAAUCGGAACACCUGUUGCCUAGAGAAGUCGAUGAGGAAUUAUAAGUAUAAUCGCGAAAGAUUGGCGAUCGCGGUGAUUUUUUAAAAAGUUCAAGUCGAAUCGGUUCGACCUGCACUUGCCGAGACGACGAGUAG